GACGUAGGGCGCGAGCGUUGUCCGGAUUUAUUGGGCGUAAAGAGCUCGUAGGCGGCUUGUCGCGUCGUCCGUGAAAACCUGCAGCUCAACUGCAGGCUUGCGGUCGAUACGGGCAGGCUGGAGUUCGGUAGGGGAGACUGGAAUUCCUGGUGUAGCGGUGAAAUGCGCAGAUAUCAGGAGGAACACCGGUGGCGAAGGCGGGUCUCUGGGCCACUACUGACGCUGAGAAGCAAAAGCAUGGGGAGCGAACAGG
rnacentral:rRNA from 1 species